GCCUUCGUGGUGUAGUGGUGAACAUGCUCGGCGUGUAUUCCAGAGGUCUGUGGUUCGAAUCCCUGCGAGGGCA
rnacentral:tRNA from 1 species